rnacentral:rRNA from 1 species
GUAUUACCAACAGAGGUGCAGGUGCCAGCCUAUUGAAAUAAAGCGUCAAUGAGGGUGAGAAUCCUGUUUGUCAUGUGCAGCCCUUUGUGCACGGUGUAUAUUUGCUGAGUCACACUCCUUGGCAUUGGAAUGCAAAGUGGGUGGUAAGUUUCAUGUAAAGGUAAACAUGCAAUUGAGACUGAUAGCACACAAGUACCAUGAGGGAAAUAUGAAAAGGACUUUGAAAAGAGAAUUAAAUGAGUUUGUAUUUGCUGAACACAAAGUAAACAGACUUGAUUUGCUUGGUGGGAGUGUUGCACUUGCUUGACAAGAGCUUUGGGCUGUGGGUGUAAUGAUUCUUUCUUUGCAUGCCAGUUUCUAUUUGUACAUCUGAUUACCUUUGCACAUGAAUGAUAAGUCUCCUGUGGGGGGUGGAUUGCAUGUGCAUGUAAUGAUUUGUGUUUUGAUAAAUGUGUCUGGUGUAUGUGUGUGUUCCUGUGCUUGGGGAUGCUUCCUUCCUUGGACUUACAAGCCCUGACACACACAUGCUGGCAAAAUGCUUCUGCUUGACCCGUCUUGAAACACGGACCAAGGAGUCUAACAGAUGUGCAAAGUUUGAAGGUGGUAUACCUUUGUGUGCAAUGAAAGUGUCAGCUGGGAUAUGUGCACCAGCACCCAAUUAAUUAGCGGACAGAGGUUUGAGUUGGAGCAUAUCUAUUAGGACCCGAAAGAUGGUGAACUAUGCCUGAACAGAAUGAAUUCAGAGGAAACUCUGAUGGAGGUUCGUAUCGAUACUGACGUGCAAAUCGUUCGUCAUAUUUGGGUAUAGGGGCGAAAGACUAAUCGAACCAUCUAGUAGCUGGUUCCCUCCGAAGUUUCCCUCAGGAUAGCUGGAGUUGCUCAGUUUUAUCAGGUAAAGCGAAUGAUUAGAGGAAUUGGGGACAGGUUUGUCUUUGACCUAUUCUCAAACUUUAAAUGGG